rnacentral:rRNA from 1 species
AUGGAAGUAUUCCAAGAACUGUGUUCAAAGGACCCCCAAUUCACUUAUUGUGUGGACGCAGAUAAGGAGGGCGGGAUUAGCACUUUGAUGUGGGCUACCGGCAAUAGCAGGCUGCAGUACAGCUUCUUUGGUGACGUGGUUACAUUCGAUACAACUUAUCGGACAAACCUCUACAACAUGUCGUUUGGUUUAUUUGUGGGUGUGAACAAUCAUUUUCAGAGCAUAAUCCUGGCUGGAGUUUUGGUGCGAAGUGAAACAGUUGAAACAUUUGAAUGGGUUUUCUCAGAAUUCAUUAGGAUAAUGGGUGGUAAGGCACCGCAAACAAUCUUGACAGAUCAUAACAGGGCUAUGGAGGUGGCCAUAAGUAAUGUGAUGCCCGGCACAGCUCACCGAUGGUGCAAGUGGCAUGUUCUAAAGAAGGCAAAGCACAAGUGGGCGAAGCCUUUCUUCAAAGGUGUGUUCUGCGCAAAAAUGACUAGCACACAACGGAGUGAAAGUGCUAACCACAUGUUAAAGAACUAUGUGCCGCCUGGGAGCCCAAUGCAUAUAUUUGUAAGGAAGUAUAUGAGCUUAAUAUUUGACAGGGAGGCAGAAGAGAAUUAUGAGGAGAAGCAUACAACAAUAGGGAGGCCACUCAUGCGAGCAAAUUUGGCUACAGAGAGGCAUGCUGGGAAAAUAUACACUAGGGCUAUGUUUGAGCAAUUCGGACAUAUAUUGUAUGAGUGCGGUGCAUAUCAGGUUGAGGAGAUUGAGAAAGGAAAAGAAUACAUUGCAAUACAUACCGAUGCAGCGCGUAGGGAAAAGUGGUGUAAAACGUCAUACAAGGUAUCCGUUAUGGAAGGAGGGGAUGAGUUUGACUGCGAGUGUGGCCAGUUUGCACACAUGGGCCUGCUCUACAGCCACGCCCUAAAGGUAAUGGACUUCAUCCGUGUGACGGAGAUCCCAAAAAAACACAUUCUGAAGCGGUGGACACGAGAUGCAAGAGAUAUCCUUCCAGCACACCUCACACAGUAC